AUUUCCCUCUUCUUCUUUUUUUCCUUCUUUUGUGUGGCUGGUAAACGUUGUCUCAAUCUACACAAUUAUAUUUGCUUCACGUUUGCUACUCCCACCUUUCUAAUUUAUAUACUAACUAGAUUCAGCACGUCUAUUCCAUGUUAAUUUUCAAAGGCACAGCUGCUACGUAUACUUCAUCUCUUCUGCUUCUUCCUAUUCCUAUGGAUUUCGCCAAUGACAUCGAUACCAUUUCCCUCUUCUUCUUUUUU
rnacentral:misc_RNA from 1 species